GCAUCGCCCGCACCUCUCGCUCGCAUCGCCCGCAGCGACAUCUUUUCGGGAUGCGAGAGAGUUGAAGUUCAGUCAACUUUUCCGUGCGGGCGAUGCGAUUUUGCAGAGGGCAGCACGUCCGCCAUCUUGGAAUGUAAACAAACUUGACCUUGGCAAUUUACAUUGGUGGAUGCGAUUGAUGCUAGUGCGUAUUUUCCAUGUCUUAGGGUCUAAUUAGCACUUAAUUGGACAUAGGUUAAUGCUAUUUUCUAAAGACAUUCGUAAUUCUAUAAAUUUAGCCGUUAUUCGUGCGUCAACAUCUGCAAAAUGAUUGAAAGAAGAUCUGCCUGACGGAAUCAAGUACCAGCUACCUACCUCCUCAACCUAGCCAAAAGUAGCACGUUCCAGCACUCGGAUCAGCCCACAACCGCUGUCCACAACAGUCCGACUGUCACCACACCGCCAGUUCCGGACGAGUCGGUGCACGGUGGUGACUGCCCAGUGCCCACGACCCACGUUACUCAGGGACUAACGAGUAGGAAAGCAUCCUGGAAUCGGAGGGAGGGGCAGUAUUCCGCUGGCGAUGCUUCUGCGACUGACCCCACGGGGAACGACCAGACUACCAUGACAACCGUCAACGCAGACAACGCGAACAUCACUACUAGACGCACCUCCUUCAUCCAAGCAAACAUCACCAGCCUAGCAGCAGCCGUUAACCCGCGCCGAGCCGGUGCUCGGCGCCAACCGCGCCGUGCCCGGGGAUCUGUGGACACCCACCCCUUCUAGCUCGGCUCUUGGGUAGCAUAGGGAUAUGUGGUUAGUGGCUUUCAAAGGAGCGUCCAAAACCAAGACGAUAAUACAUCGGUCAUUUUUUAAAGUCAAUCAAGUAAGACGGGUCAUGUUCGGUCCCCCAGGGCCCGGCGCUAUUGGUGCCGAGCAACGGCCCGGCGCAAGAUGUCAGAUCUUGUUAGAACAAUGCGGUUGAAUUUGGACUACAAUAAACCGACACAUAGUACGAUAUA